UGAUGGGAUGUGCUUUAUGAUCUCUCAUCUACUUUUAUCUCUCCCUUACAUUCUUUGGCAAGGCUGGGCACAGUUCAGAUGCUAUGGGGCUAGUUGAACAGAGAGCAGUCCAAAAAGAUAAGGAAUGCUAAGAAUUCAGUCACACCAUAGUUCCUUCCUACCCAACCCAACACCACUUUAACUCCAUUUUAUUAAAAAGGAGCUGGGACCCAGUCCUGCAGAUUCUCCUGAAGAUCACAGAAAAGAGUAAGCCUUUCACCACUACAACAUCUCUCAGCUCAUCAGAAGAAACAGCAGAAAAAGAAGUUCCAUAUUCUGGGUCUAUCUGACUAGACAUCACAAGAAGCUUACCAUUUUUGACUGAGAUUCAACAGCCUUAAC